rnacentral:lncRNA from 1 species
UUGAGACGGAAGGCGGAGAUCUGCUACUCUCUUCCUGCAGGGGACCUGGCCUGCCGUGGGGGGUUCCAGCUUCCUUGGAAACGGAGUCCCAGGAGGACAGAGCAGGCAGGAGCGGUCAGUCACUGUCCCUCACAACCCAAGCCUGGAAAUGCUCCUGUUGGUGGGGAGAGCUGGGUCCCCACUCCAGGGAUCCCACCCAGGACUCGGGGUUUGCUGGAAGAUGCCGUCUGGGAUACCUGGAAGGCUAACUCGUCCCACCACCCCACCCACUCUCUGCUGAGUCCCCAUCUCAAGUCGUCUAGACUGCAAGCUCAUGGUACAGGGUGAGGCCAGUAUUCCCUCCCAGGCCCAGAGUCAGCCCCCACGCAGCAGGGCUGCCCGUGACACCCAGUGACGCUCAGUGACGCUGAGCUUUCCUGGGGCAGCCCCUCCCUCCCUGAAAUGGAUGUUGGCAUCACUGAGACACGAUCACCCGUAAAGACCCUCUC